UAAUACGAAGGACCCGAACGUUAUCCGGAUUUAUUGGGUUUAAAGGGUGCGUAGGCGGACUUAUAAGUCAGUGGUGAAAUCUCCGGGCUUAACUCGGAAAUUGCCAUUGAAACUAUUUGUCUUGAGUACAUUUGAGGCGGGCAGAAUGUGUCAUGUAGAGGUGAAAUUCUUAGAUAUGACACAGAACACCAAUUGCGAAGGCAGCUCGCUAAACUGUAACUGACGCUGAGGCACGAAAGCGUGGGGAUCAAACAGGAUUAGAUACCCUGGUAGUCCACGCCCUAAACGAUGAUUACUCGAAGUGUGCAAUACACAGCACGCCUCUGAGCGAAAGCAUUAAGUAAUCCACCUGGGAAGUACGGACGCAAGUCU
rnacentral:rRNA from 1 species